rnacentral:rRNA from 1 species
UACGGGAGGCAGCAGUGGGGAAUAUUGCACAAUGGGCGCAAGCCUGAUGCAGCCAUGCCGCGUGUAUGAAGAAGGCCUUCGGGUUGUAAAGUACUUUCAGUCGUGAGGAAGGUGUUAAGGUUAAUAACCUUAGCAAUUGACGUUAGCGACAGAAGAAGCACCGGCUAACUCCGUGCCAGCAGCCGCGGUAAUACGGAGGGUGCGAGCGUUAAUCGGAAUUACUGGGCGUAAAGGGCACGCAGGCGGUUAAUUAAGUUGGAUGUGAAAUCCCCGGGCUUAACCUGGGAAUGGCAUUCAAGACUGGUUAGCUAGAGUCUUGUAGAGGGGGUAGAAUUCCAUGUGUAGCGGUGAAAUGCGUAGAGAUGUGGAGGAUACCGGUGCGAAGGCGGCCCCUGGACAAAGGCUGACGCUCAUGUGCGAAAGCGUGGGGAGCAAA